rnacentral:rRNA from 1 species
UACGAAGGGGGCUAGCGUUGCUCGGAAUCACUGGGCGUAAAGCGCACGUAGGCGGCUUUUUAAGUCAGGGGUGAAAUCCCGGAGCUCAACUCCGGAACUGCCUUUGAUACUGAGGAUCUUGAGUUCGGGAGAGGUGAGUGGAACUGCGAGUGUAGAGGUGAAAUUCGUAGAUAUUCGCAAGAACACCAGUGGCGAAGGCGGCUCACUGGCCCGAUACUGACGCUGAGGCACGAAAGCGUGGGGAGCAAACAGG